rnacentral:lncRNA from 1 species
AUGACUUCGUGUCCUCUACUUCCUGUUUCUGAUACUGACUCUGGGCUACUGAAACUGCUGUUAUCUCUACUGUCCAGACUCAGUCAGGUCCAGGUUGGUACUCUACUGUCCAGACUCAGUCAGGUCCAGGUUGGUACUCUACUGUCCAGACUCAGUCAGGUCCAGGUUGAUACUCUAUUGUACUAUACUAUUACUAUACCAUGCUAUACUAUACCAUGCUAUACUAUACCAUGCUAUACUAUGCUAUACCAUUCCAUGCUAUACUAUGCUAUACUAUGCUAUACUAUGCUAUACUAUGCUAUGCUACACUAUACCAUGUUAUACUAUACUAUACUGUACUAUAACAUACUGUACUAUACUAUACUGUACAAUACUAUCCUAUCCAGACUGAGUCAGGUCCAGGUUGAUACUCUACUGUACUACUAUACUAUACUAUACUAUACUAUACUAUACUAUACUAUACUAUACUAUACUAUACUAUCCUAUCCAGACACAGUCAGGUCCAGGUCGAUACUCUAUUGUACUAUACUGUACUACUAUACUAUACUAUACUAUACUCUACUAUACUAUACUAUACUGUACUAUAACAUACUGUACUAUACUAUACUGUACGAUACUAUCCUAUCCAGACUGAGUCAGGUCCAGGUUGAUACUCUAUUGUACUAUACUGUACUCUACUGUACUGUCCAGACACAGUCAGGUCCAUGUGGAUACUCUACUGUACUACUAUACUAUACUCUACUACUAUACUAUACUGUACUAUACCAUACUGUACUAUACUAUACUGUACUAUACUAUCCCAUCCAGACUGAGUCAGGUCCAGGUUGAUACUCUAUUGUACUAUACUGUACUCUACUGUCCAGACACAGUCAGGUCCAUGUGGAUACUCUACUGUACUACUAUACUAUACUCUACUACUAUACUAUACUCUACUCUACUGUCCAGACACAGUCAGGUCCAUGUGGAUACUCUACUGUACUACUAUACUAUACUCUACUACUAUACUAUACUCUACUACUAUACUAUACUGUACUAUACCAUACUGUACUAUACCAUACCAUAUUGUACUAUACUGUACUAUAAUAUACUGUCCAGUCUCAGGUUGAUACUCUACUAUACUACUAUACUAUACUAUACUCUACGAUACUCUACUACUAUAGGAUACUCUACUAUACUACUAUACUGUACUAUACUAUACUAUAUUAUACCGACGCAGUCAGGUCCAGGUUGAUACUCUACUGUACUAUACUAUGCUAUACUAUCUCUUCAGUCCAGACUCAGUGAGGUUCAGGCUGAUCCCAGACAGCAGAUCUCCUCCACAGCUUCUGUUCAGCAUUUCCUUCAGUGCUUCAUUCACGUCAUUAUUAAACACAGUGGAGAAGUUACAGCUGAGGUAGCCCCCUCCUCCUCCGACCCCGUCCGCGACCCCGCCCGUGACCCCUAACGACCCCACCACCUCCUGCACCCACUUCAGCUCGUCGCUCAGCUCCUGUCUCAGGGCGUCAAAGUGUCUCUUCCUCUCCUGGUAGCGGGCGCUAACGUCACUAAGAUAACUGUACCUAU